AAUAGAUACCCCGGUAGUCCAUGCCGUAAACGAUGAACACUAGGUGUAGCGGGAUUUAUUCACAUCUGCUGCGCCGUAGCUAACGCAUUAAGUGUUCCGCCUGGGGAGUACGGCCGCAAGGCUAAAAACUCAAAGGAAUUGACGGGGCCCCGCACAAGCGGCGGAGCAUGCGGCUUAAUUCGAUGCAACCCGAAGAACCUUACCUGGGUUUGACAUCAUGGGUCUAGCUGUGGAAACACAGUGUGCUUACGCGCCCAUGACAGGUGGUGCAUGGCUGUCGUCAGCUCGUGUCGUGAGAUGUUGGGUUAAGUCCCGCAACGAGCGCAACCCUUGUCCUAUGUUGCCAGCACGUAAUGGUGGGGACUCAUGGGGAGACUGCCGGGGGACAACUCGGGAGGAAGGCGAGGACGAUGUCAAGUCAUCAUGCCCCUUAUAUCCAGGGCUGCACGCAUGCUACAAUGGGCGAUACAAUGGGCUGCGAUCCCCGCGAGGGUCAGCCAAUCCCUUAAAGUCCCG
rnacentral:rRNA from 1 species